GAUUUAUUGGUUACUUGCAAAUUAAUGAUACAAAAAUAUGAAUGAAAUAUUAAAAAUUAUUUAUGCUUUAAUUAUCUGGAGUUCCCUAAUUCUUUUUGUAGCCAGUCAUAGUUUUCUUCCAUGUGAAACUAUUGAAGAUUGUAAAGAUGAUAUUUGUCCUUUUCCUCAAAUACCAAUGUGUUACUUGAAUGCAUGUCAUUGCGCACCGCCAUCAGGCUACGAUCCAUGUGAUAAGGGUUGUUGUAUUACUUGCUAGCAUGUCAUUGCACGUUGGGAAUGAUCUAUAAUCAAUGUGAUAAGGGUUGUUGCCCAACUAAAUAUUGAACCUUGCUUAUUUAUGGAAUAUAAUUCUAUAUUAUAACUUUAUAUACAAAAUUGUACUAAUUAUUUGUAAAGAACAAGUAUUGGAGGGUUCAGGGCCGACCCAACAUAUAUUGUGGUCUGAGGUGAAUCUUAAAAUGAGACUUUUUAAAUUAAAAUUAAUUUUUAAUUAAAAUUUUAUUUUACGAGCUUUUUGAGAUGCAAAA